GACGAACGCUGGCGGCACGCUUAACACAUGCAAGUCGAACGAAAAUGUUUCACCGUAGCUUGCUACACCGAGACAUUUUAGUGGCGGACGGGUGAGUAACACGUGAGGAACCUGCCUAUCAGAGAGGGAUACCGUUUGGAAACGAACGUUAAUACCUCAUAACGUAACGAGAUCGCAUGAUAAUGUUACCAAAGAUUUAUCGCUGAUAGAUGGCCUCGCGUCUGAUUAGAUAGUUGGUGAGGUAACGGCUCACCAAGUCGACGAUCAGUAGCCGGACUGAGAGGUUGAACGGCCACAUUGGGACUGAGACACGGCCCAGACUCCUACGGGAGGCAGCAGUGGGGAAUAUUGCACAAUGGAGGAAACUCUGAUGCAGCGAUGCCGCGUGACGGGAAGAAGGUUUUCGGAUUGGUAAACCUCUGUCUUCAGGGACGAUAAUGACGGUACCUGAGGAGGAAGCUCCGGCUAACUACGUG
rnacentral:rRNA from 1 species